GACGAACGCUGGCGGCGUGGUUAACACAUGCAAGUCGAACGGAAAGGCCCUGCUUUUGUGGGGUGCUCGAGUGGCGAACGGGUGAGUAACACGUGAGUAACCUGCCCUUGACUUUGGGAUAACUUCAGGAAACUGGGGCUAAUACCGGAUAGGAGCUCCUGCUGCAUGGUGGGGGUUGGAAAGUUUCGGCGGUUGGGGAUGGACUCGCGGCUUAUCAGCUUGUUGGUGGGGUAGUGGCUUACCAAGGCUUUGACGGGUAGCCGGCCUGAGAGGGUGACCGGCCACAUUGGGACUGAGAUACGGCCCAGACUCCUACGGGAGGCAGCAGUGGGGAAUAUUGCACAAUGGGCGGAAGCCUGAUGCAGCAACGCCGCGUGCGGGAUGACGGCCUUCGGGUUGUAAACCGCUUUCGCCUGUGACGAAGCGUGAGUGACGGUAAUCGGUAAAGAAGCACCGGCUAACUACGUG
rnacentral:rRNA from 1 species